CGCCUCCGUGGUAGCAAUUCUUUUUAAGAAUUGAUGGUAUGCGAAGGUGGCGGAAUUGGUAGACGCGCUAGCUUCAGGUGUUAGUGU
rnacentral:tRNA from 1 species